rnacentral:rRNA from 1 species
GACGAACGCUGGCGGCGUGCUUAACACAUGCAAGUCGAACGGUAAGGCCCUUCGGGGUACACGAGUGGCGAACGGGUGGAGUAACACGUGGGUGAUCUGCCCUGCACUUCGGGAUAAGCCUGGGAAACUGGGUCUAAUACCGGAUAGGACCAUGGACUUCACGGUUUGUGGUGGAAAGCUUUUGCGGUGUGGGAUGGGCCCGCGGCCUAUCAGCUUGUUGGUGGGGUAAUGGCCUACCAAGGCGACGACGGGUAGCCGGCCUGAGAGGGUGUCCGGCCACACUGGGACUGAGAUACGGCCCAGACUCCUACGGGAGGCAGCAGUGGGGAAUAUUGCACAAUGGGCGCAAGCCUGAUGCAGCGACGCCGCGUGAGGGAUGACGGCCUUCGGGUUGUAAACCUCGUUUCAACUAGGGACGAAGCGCAAGUGACGGUACCGUAUAGAAGAAGCACCGGCCAACUACGUGCCAGCAGCCGCGGUAAU